rnacentral:rRNA from 1 species
CAGUCGCCGCGGUAAUACGUAGGUGGCAAGCGUUGUCCGGAAUUAUUGGGCGUAAAGGGCUCGCAGGCGGUUUCUUAAGUCUGAUGUGAAAGCCCCCGGCUCAACCGGGGAGGGUCAUUGGAAACUGGGAAACUUGAGUGCAGAAGAGGAGAGUGGAAUUCCACGUGUAGCAGUGAAAUGCGUAGAGAUGUGGAGGAACACCAGUGGCGAAGGCGACUCUCUGGUCUGUAACUGACGCUGAGGAGCGAAAGCGUGGGGAGCGAACAGGAUUAGAUACCCCUGUAGUCCCUGUCUCUUAUAC